CUUGAAAAAGGGAGUUCAAGAAGAGCUUCGAAGAAGCUUUCUUGAUGGAGGGGAGUGGCAGACGGGUGAGUAACGCGUGGGAACAUACCCUUAUCUUCGGAACAACUCCGGGAAACUGGAGCUAAUACCGAAUGUGCCCUUAGGGGGAAAGAUUUAUCGGAUAAGGAUUGGCCCGCGUUGGAUUAGCUAGUUGGUGGGGUAAAGGCCUACCAAGGCGACGAGCCAUAGCUGGUCUGAGAGGAUGAUCAGCCACAUUGGGACUGAGACACGGCCCAAACUCCUACGGGAGGCAGCAGUGGGGAAUCUUCCGCAAUGGGCGCAAGCCUGACGGAGCAACGCCGCGUGAGUGAUGAAGGCCUUCGGGUUGUAAAACUCUGUCUUCAGGGAAGAAACAAAUGACGGUACCUGAGGAGGAAGCCACGGCUAACUACGUGCCAGCAGCCGCAGUAAGAC
rnacentral:rRNA from 1 species